UAUCCUUUUAACUACAUGCAUGCUGCAGCAAUGCUACUCCCCUUUUCUCUCACCCACCAUCACAUGGCGCCUGCUCUCUCCCCCCCAAGUAACAGCAGCCCAUAAUUCUCUCUUAAUUCUCUUGGUUCAAUUCCCUCUUGAAUGACAUCCACUUUGCUCCAUUAGCUUUAUCUCUCUUUCAAUUGCAUGGAUCCAUGCACCAGUUAUCAGCCA
rnacentral:lncRNA from 1 species